rnacentral:rRNA from 1 species
UACGGAGGGUGCUAGCGUUGUUCGGAAUUACUGGGCGUAAAGGGCGCGCAGGCGGCUGCUCAAGUCAGGCGUGAAAGGCCUGGGCUCAACCCGGGAAUUGCGCUUGAGACUGGGCUGGCUUGAGUGCGGGAGAGGAUGGUGGAAUUCCCAGUGUAGAGGUGAAAUUCGUAGAUAUCGGAAGGAACAUCGGUGGCGAAAGCGGCGCGCUGGACCUCUUCUGACGCUGAGGCGCGAAAGCCAGGGGAGCGAACGGG